rnacentral:rRNA from 1 species
UGGGGAAUAUUGCACAAUGGGCGCAAGCCUGAUGCAGCAACGCCGCGUGAACGAUGAAGGUCUUCGGAUCGUAAAGUUCUGUUGCAGGGGAAGAUAAUGACGGUACCCUGUGAGGAAGCCCCGGCUAACUACGUGCCAGCAGCCGCGGUAAUACGUAGGGGGCUAGCGUUAUCCGGAUUUACUGGGCGUAAAGGGUGCGUAGGUGGUCUUUCAAGUCGGUGGUUAAAGGCUACGGCUCAACCGUAGUUAGCCUCCGAAACUGGAAGACUUGAGUGCAAGAGAGGAAAGUGGAAUUCCCCGUGUAACGGUGAAAUGCGUAGAUAUUGGGAGGAACACCAGUAGCGAAGGCGGCUUUCUGGACUGCAACUGACACUGAGGCACGAAAGCGUGGGUAGCAAACAGG